UACGUAGGUGGCAAGCGUUAUCCGGAUUUAUUGGGCGUAAAGAGAACGCAGGCGGUCUUUUAAGUCCGAUGUGAAAGCCUUCGGCUUAACCGGAGUAGUGCAUUGGAAACUGGGAGACUUGAGUGCAGAAGAGGAGAGUGGAACUCCAUGUGUAGCGGUGAAAUGCGUAGAUAUAUGGAAGAACACCAGUGGCGAAAGCGGCUCUCUGGUCUGUAACUGACGCUGAGGUUCGAAAGCGUGGGUAGCAAACAGG
rnacentral:rRNA from 1 species